UAUUUCUAAUAAAUGGUUUUAUUCCUUUAGAAUGAAAAUCUAAUGUGCAGUCUACACCAUAGAAAC
rnacentral:tRNA from 1 species